AUGGGUUGCCACCCAGCAGGCCCCAAAACAGUUUUUUUCUGGGCUCCAAUUAUGAAAUGGGGAUUGGUGUGUGCUGGAUUGGCUGAUAUGGCCAGACCUGCAGAAAAACUCAGCACAGCUCAGUCUGCUGUUUUGAUGGCUACAGGGUUUAUUUGGUCAAGAUACUCGUAAUUAUUCCAAAAAACUGGAGUCUGUUUGCUGUUAAUUUCUUUGUGGGGGCAGCAGGUGCCUCUCAACUUUUUCGAAUUUGGAGAUAUAACCAAGAACUAAAAGCUAAAGCAAACCAAUAAAAGAAUUCCUGAUCACCUGAACAUUCUAGAUGUGAACAUAACCACUGGGACGUAGUUUAUUGUUUGAUGAUUGAUAAGGCAAUGUUAACUAUGGUGACAUUUGGAAGGCAUCAAAAAUAUCUAACUGUAACUUGUAGCUAGUGCUUGAUUCAACAGAAAAAUAAAGUGAAUUUU